rnacentral:rRNA from 1 species
CACGCCGUAAACGAUGAUGACUAGGUGUUGGGGAAACUCAGUGCCGCAGUUAACACAUUAAGUCAUCCGCCUGGGGAGUACGACCGCAAGGUUGAAACUCAAAGGAAUUGACGGGGACCCGCACAAGCAGCGGAGCAUGUGGUUUAAUUCGAAGCAACGCGAAGAACCUUACCAGGCCUUGACAUCCUCUGACAAUCCUAGAGAUAGGACGUUUCCUUCGGGAACAGAGAGACAGGUGG